ACCCUUACCAGGUUUUGACAUCCCAGGUAAAACUUGAGAGAUCAAGUGUGCCUUCGGGGCAAUNUGAGACAGGUGGUGCAUGGUUGUCGUCAGCUCGUGUCGUGAGAUGUUGGGUUAAGUCCCGCAACGAGCGCAACCCUUGCUGAUAAUUANUAACGCGUGAUGGCGAGGACUUUAUUGGGACUGCCGGGGACAACUCGGAGGAAGGUGGGGACGACGUCAAAUCAUCAUGCCCCUUAUGACCUGGGCUACACACGUGCUACAAUGGCCGAGACAGAGAGAAGCGAGGGCGCAAGCCGGAGCGGAUCUGCCAAAAGCGGUCACAGUUCAGAUUGUGGGCUGCAACCCGCCCACAUGAAGCAGGAGUUGCUAGUAAUCGCGGAUCAGCAUGCCGCGGUGAAUACGUUCCCGGGUCUUGUACACACCGA
rnacentral:rRNA from 1 species